rnacentral:rRNA from 1 species
GACGAACGCUGGCGGCGUGCUUAACACAUGCAAGUCGAACGGAAAGGCCCUGCUUUUGUGGGGUGCUCGUGUGGCGAACGGGUGUGUAACACGUGUGUAACAUGCCCUUGUCUUUGGGAUAUCUUCUGGAAAAUGGGGCUAAUACCCCAUAUGAGAUCUUGCUGCAUGGUGGGGGUUGGAAAGUUUCGGCGGUUGGGGAUGUUCUCGCGGCUUAUCCGCUUGUUGGUGGGGUUGUGGCUGACCAGGGCUGCGACGGGUAGGCGGCCUGGGAGGGGGACCGGCCACAGUGGUACUAAGAGACGGCGCAGAAGGCUACGGGACGCAGCGGGGGGGAAUAUUGCACAAUGGGCGGAAGCCUGAUGCGGCGACGCCGCGUGCGGGAUGACGGCCUUCGGGUGGAAAACCUCUUUCGACGGUGACGAAGCGUGAGUGACGGUAAUGGGUAAAGAAGCACCGGCUAACUACGUG